ACUCCUACGGGAGGCAGCAGUGGGAAUAUUGCACAAUGGGAAGGCCAUCGAUGCAGCCAUGCCGCGCUGUGUGAAGAAGGCCAAUUCGGGCUUGGUUAAAGACACUUUUCAGCGAGGAGGAAAGGGUGUAAGUUAAUACCUUACAUCUGUGACGUUACUCGCAGAAGAAGCACCGGCUAACUCCGUGCCAGCAGCCGCGGUAAUACGGAGGGUGCGAGCGUUAAUCGGAAUUACUGGGCGUAAAGCGUGCGCAGGCGGUUUGUU
rnacentral:rRNA from 1 species